AUGGCAAGAGAGAAUUCGAGGACCCCCAGGUCAGCUUUGAGUUUGGGCUGUAAACAGUCUCAGCUCUCAGGAAAAGGUGAGGAGCAUCCCAAAGAAAAUCAGAUCAACUUGAUUGUUUUCCUGUCCCCAGAUGCAUGUGUUCUGUUCAUUUGUGCUCAGGGCUACUUUGUUUCCUCCUGGACAAUGUGGGGCCCCUGCUUUCCUAGUAUAAGUGGCAUUUCUAUUCCUUUAAUGUUCCUCUGCAGCCCCACAAAGAAACCAGAAAAUAAAGCUGUCAACAACAAACUCUCUUCCAGCAAGAUGGAAGUGCAUAAACCUCAGAGAUGUUCGAAGGCCUUUCUUCUUUUCUUGCUGGGAAAAGCUCUCCUCUCACCAGGAAGGUUGUGGAUGGUGCCAAUCGGGAGUGAUGAUCAUCACAGAUGGGCAGGCCUUGAACCUCCACAUCUGGAGGUCAAACUGGACCAAAGGUCGAGGAGCCAGGAGGCACACAGGCUCCCAAAUGAGCUUGGACAUGAGCACCAGGCCCUAGAAAUUUCUAGACAAUCACUAGAAGGUAGGGGCCAGAAGAGUCAUACAAAUGGAUUAUCAGAGGGAUCCCUGGGUGGCGCAGCGGUUUGGCGCCUGCCUUUGGCCCAGGGCGCGAUCCUGGAGACCCGGGAUCAAAUCCCACAUCAGGGGAUCCCUGGGUGGCGCAGCGGUUUGGCGCCUGCCUUUGGCCCAGGGCGCGAUCCUGGAGACCCGGGAUCGAAUCCCACAUGGGGCUCCCGGUGCAUGGAGCCUGCUUCUCCCUCUGCCUGUGUCUCUGCGCCUCUCUCUCUCUCUGUGACUAUCAUAAAUAAAUAAAAAUUAAAAAAAAAAUUUACAAAUCCCACAUCAGGCUCCUGGUGCAUGGAGCCUGCUUCUCCCUCUGCCUAUGUCUCUGCCUCUCUCUCUCUCUGUGACUAUCAUAAAUAAAUAAAUAAAAAUUAAAAAAAUUAAAAAAAAA
rnacentral:lncRNA from 1 species